AAAAAGACAAACUCUAGAUUUCCGUGUCCAACAUUUGACUGUCCGUCUUAUAUGAAAUUUUUUUAUAAUUAAUAUUUUUAUUGUUGUUAGAUGAUAAAACAUGAUUAAUACUUUAUGCAUGACUUAUCUUUUUUUUUUAUAAUUUUUUAAAUAAGAUGGACGGUUAAACGUUGGACACGGAAACCUAGGGUUUGUCUUUUU
rnacentral:pre_miRNA from 1 species